AUACGCUUCAUGGACAAUAUCUGAAAGCUGCUCACUAACCUCUCUUAUUUACACUGGGUCUACCAGCAUGCACAUGCAUAAACACAAAGGACACGGAGGCCUGGGCUCAGAGGAAGUCAAACAUGGCGCUUACUUAACAAAAGCGGCCACAUUAAAGAGAUAAUAGGUGACUGUUUCCAUAAGUAUACUGGCAUAUUUAAUGAUUAUAGUAUAACGCUAUAACGCUAGAUGUAACUACAAGCUUCCACAGGCAGCUGCACGGAGCUCUAACAUGGCAGAGACACGGUGAAAACAUGUCGACAUCCGGAGGCGAACAACUGGGUCUCUACUCACCAGGUAUGUGGGCGUGGCCUCGAAACUGUAGGUGUGCAGCCGCAGGUCGACUGUGCGGCUGUGUGCUGAAAGGAUGCUUUCAAGGUGGGACAUACAGAAGCAAAGCUAGAUAUUGAACUACUAUUUUUCCUCACCCACUUGCCUUCAGAAAUCUCCAGUUAACACCAGGUAUAAAUGUCACACAAUAUAGCUGUCAUUCAAUUAAUAUACUGUAUAUGAAAAGUGGAUAAUUUUUAAGUUUUUUUGACCCCCUUAUUCAUUUUGGGGGCAAGACAUUAAAACCAUCUCCUGUUCUUUAAAUGUUUAAACUAGAAUUAUUGGCAGAGCUAAAUUAGACUGUACAGGGGUGGCUAGUAC